UACGUAGGGGGCAAGCGUUGUCCGGAUUUAUUGGGCGUAAAGAGCGUGUAGGCGGCCAUACAGGUCAGCUGUGAAAACUCGAGGCUCAACCUCGAGACGUCGGUUGAAACCGUUUGGCUAGAGUCCGGAAGAGGAGAGUGGAAUUCCCGGUGUAGCGGUGAAAUGCGCAGAUAUCAGGAAGAACACCCGUGGCGAAGGCGGCUCUCUGGGACGGUACUGACGCUGAGACGCGAAAGCGUGGGGAGCGAACAGG
rnacentral:rRNA from 1 species